CCUACGGGCGGCAGCAGUGAGGAAUAUUGGUCAAUGGGCGCAAGCCUGAACCAGCCAAGUCGCGUGAGGGAUGACGGUCCUAUGGAUUGUAAACCUCUUUUGUCGGGGAGCAAGGCCCGCCACGUGUGGCGGGAAGGAGAGUACCCGAAGAAAAAGCAUCGGCUAACUCCGUGCCAGCAGCCGCGGUAAUACAGAGGAUGCGAGCGUUAUCCGGAUUUAUUGGGUUUAAAGGGUGCGUAGGCGGAAGGUUAAGUCAGCGGUCAAAUGUCGGUGCUCAACACCGGCCUGCCGUUGAAACUGGUCGUCUUGAGUGAGCGAGAGGUAUGCGGAAUGCGUGGUGUAGCGGUGAAAUGCAGAGAUAUCACGCAGAACGCCGAUUGCGAAGGAAGCAUACCGGCGCUCAACUGACGCUGAGGCACGAAAGCGUGGGGAUCGAACAGGAUUAGAUACCCCGGUAGUC
rnacentral:rRNA from 1 species